rnacentral:rRNA from 1 species
AUUGAACGCUGGCGGCAGGCCUAACAUAUGCAAGUCGAGCGGAUGAAGGGAGCUUGCUCCUGGAUUCAGCGGCGGACGGGUGAGUAAUGCCUAGGAAUCUGCCUGGUAGUGGGGGAUAACGUCCGGAAACGGGCGCUAAUACCGCAUACGUCCUGAGGGAGAAAGUGGGGGAUCUUCGGACCUCACGCUAUCAGAUGAGCCUAGGUCGGAUUAGCUAGUUGGUGGGGUAAAGGCCUACCAAGGCGACGAUCCGUAACUGGUCUGAGAGGAUGAUCAGUCACACUGGAACUGAGACACGGUCCAGACCCCUACGGGAGGCAGCAGUGGGGAAUAUUGGACAAUGGGCGAAAGCCUGAUCCAGCCAUGCCGCGUGUGUGAAGAAGGUCUUCGGAUUGUAAAGCACUUUAAGUUGGGAGGAAGGGCAGUAAGUUAAUACCUUGCUGUUUUGACGUUACCAACAGAAUAAGCACCGGCUAACUUCGUG